rnacentral:rRNA from 1 species
GCCUAUACUGCAAGUUGAACGCUUGAUUUUCACCGAAGCUUGCUUCACCGAAAAUCAAGAGUAGCGAACGGGUGAGUAACGCGUGGGUAACCUACCUUUCAGCGGGGGAUAACUAUUGGAAACGAUAGCUAAUACCGCAUAACAAUGUUGGAUGCAUAUUCGACAUUUGAAAGUACCAAUUGGUACACUGAGAGAUGGACCCGCGUUGUAUUAGCUAGUUGGUAGUGUAAUGGACUACCAAGGCGAUGAUACAUAGCCGACCUGAGAGGGUGAUCGGCCACAUUGGGACUGAGACACGGCCCAAACUCCUACGGGAGGCAGCAGUAGGGAAUCUUCGGCAAUGGACGAAAGUCUGACCGAGCAACGCCGCGUGAGUGAAGAAGGUUUUCGGAUCGUAAAACUCUGUUGUUAGAGAAGAACGUUGCAUAGAGUGGAAAAUUAUGCAAGUGACGGUAUCUAACCAGAAAGGGACGGCUAACUACGUGCCAGCAGCCGCGGUAAUACGUAGGUCCCGAGCGUUGUCCGGAUUUAUUGGGCGUAAAGCGAGCGCAGGUGGUUUAAUAAGUCUGAUGUAAAAGGCAGUGGCUCAACCAUUGUGUGCAUUGGAAACUGUUAGACUUGAGUGCAGUAGAGGAGAGUGGAAUUCCAUGUGUAGCGGUGAAAUGCGUAGAUAUAUGGAGGAACACCGGUGGCGAAAGCGGCUCUCUGGACUGUCACUGACACUGAGGCUCGAAAGCGUGGGUAGCAAACAGGAUUAGAUACCCUGGUAGUCCACGCCGUAAACGAUGAGUGCUAGUUGUUUGGGGCUAUCCAGCCCUAAGUGACGCAGCAAACGCAUUAAGCACUCCGCCUGGGGAGUACGACCGCAAGGUUGAAACUCAAAGGAAUUGACGGGGGCCCGCACAAGCGGUGGAGCAUGUGGUUUAAUUCGAAGCAACGCGAAGAACCUUACCA